GGCUCGUUGGUCUAGGGGUAUGAUUCCUGCUUCGGGUGCAGGAGGUCCCGGGUUCAAAUCCCGGACGAACCC
rnacentral:tRNA from 1 species